rnacentral:lncRNA from 1 species
AACAGUCUGUUGGUGAGAUUUGGGCUCUUGUGCAUUGAUUUAGUCCACUGUUGUGACUGACUUGAAUACUUGAACUCAACCCACAGGAAGUGUCGACUUUUAUACCUCUAGCUAUGUCCUGGAAAAUGUCCCUGAUUGUGAAUUUCUGCUACUGACUGGGUCCAGGUCUGAGUUCCAUUGCUGUUCCUGUGAUCUGGGUUCAAAAAUGAGUCACUUUCUCACCUGUGACUGCACCUACAUAUGACAGUCACAGUUCCAAGUCUGGAUUGCAUUUGCAUGUGAGAUUUAGGCCUCACCAGUGAGCACUGUCUAUAUGUGAGGGUGACAAUUCUAUUCAGCUGGAUGUGCAUAUAAGAGUCACAAUCUCACCUUUGUUCUGGGUCCUGUUAUGACACUGUAUUAUUUGAGGACUUUACACAGUAUGCCUUGGUAUCAUAAUACACUAUGACCUUUAUUUAAGUAGGAGACCAAGGACCUUGCCUGUUGCUCUAAGCCUAGAUAUCAGAGUCAAAAUCUGUUCUCUUAGCUGGAUCCAGGUAUGUGAGUUAUCACCUCACCUGUGAGCUGUGACCAUGUAUAUGUCACAAUUUCACCUGUGGGCAGGAACCAGACAUGAGAGUCCUAUCACCUGGGUGCUGGGUGUAAGAGUCAACAACUCCUGAGACUUAGGUUCAAGUGCAUGAGUCACAAUCUCAACAGUGGAUUGCAUCCUGCCAUGAGAGCCCCAAUCCCUUCUCCAAGCUGUGUUCCAGUAGAGGAGUCGCAACAUCAAUGGUGUGCUGAAUCCUGGUUGGAGAGUUCCCACUUCACCUGUGGACUGGAUCUGUAUAUAAGAGGAGAGAUGUCGACUCUCAUGCCUGGGCUUAGGGCAAUGGGCAUGAUCCUACAUUUGGGAUUGUAGCAACAACUCUUGACUGCCCUUGGGUGUGAGAUUCAGAACCUCAAUUGUGACCUGUGUACACUUGGGCAUGUGACAAUUUCUACUUUUGGCUGUGUGUUCAUACAAGACUCUCAAUCUCACCUGUGUUCUGGGCCCUGUUAUUAGACUCUCUGUACCACCCACGGGGUUUAUUCAA